UGUCUAGUAAACUCAUAGCUGACUCACCGUUUAUACAAAGAUAUGUUGUAGGUUCGCGUUCAGCAGGCCCUUCCCGUCGUCGUGGUCUUAGGUUCAUUCGACGCGGUGGAGUAACAUUUACACUUUCAUUAGGUGCUGGAGGGACCUUCUUUUGUGUCACGGUGGCUUCUAAGAAUACAACAUCUCUGCUCAUUA